ensembl:miRNA
CUACUCAGGAGGCUGAGGCAAGCCAGUCGUGGUGGCCCAUGCAGCACUUGGGAGGCUGAGGCAGGAGGAU